rnacentral:rRNA from 1 species
CCUACGGGAGGCAGCAGUGAGGAAUAUUGGUCAAUGGACGCAAGCCUGAACCAGCCAUGCCGCGUGCAGGAAGACGGCCCUAUGAGUUGUAAACUUCUUUUGUACGAGAGUAAACGCAGAUACGCGUAUCUGUCUGAAAGUAUCGUACCAAUACGGCUCCGCUAACUCCGUGCCAGCCGCCGCGGUAAUACGGAGGAUUCAAGCGUUAUCCGGAUUUAUUUGGUUUAAAGGGUGCGUAGGCGGGCGGACAAGUGAGAGGUGAAAUCCCGGGGCUCAACUUCGGCAUUGCCCUUGAUACUGGUUGGCUAGAGAGCAGUAGCGGUAGGCGGAAUGUAUGGUGUAGCGGUGAAAUGCGUAGAGAUCAGACAGAACACCGAUGGCGAAGGCAGCUUACCAGGCUACAACUGACGUUGAGGCACGAAAGCGUGGGGAGCAAACAGGAUUAGAUACCCCAGUAGUC